UGGGGAAUAUUGCACAAUGGGCGAAAGCCUGAUGCAGCGACGCCGCGUGAGGGAUGACGGCCUUCGGGUUGUAAACCUCUUUCAGCAGGGAAGAAGCCACAAGUGACGGUACCUGCAGAAGAAGCGCCGGCUAACUACGUGCCAGCAGCCGCGGUCAUACGUAGGGCGCAAGCGUUGUCCGGAAUUAUUGGGCGUAAAGAGCUCGUAGGCGGUUUGUCGCGUCUGCUGUGAAAGCCCGGGGCUUAACCCCGGGUGUGCAGUGGGUACGGGCAGACUAGAGUGCAGUAGGGGAGACUGGAAUUCCUGGUGUAGCGGUGGAAUGCGCAGAUAUCAGGAGGAACACCGAUGGCGAAGGCAGGUCUCUGGGCUGUUACUGACGCUGAGGAGCGAAAGCAUGGGGAGCGAACA
rnacentral:rRNA from 1 species